CCUACGGGCGGCAGCAGUAGGGAAUCUUCCACAAUGGGCGCAAGCCUGAUGGAGCAACACCGCGUGAGUGAAGAAGGGUUUCGGCUCGUAAAGCUCUGUUGUUGGAGAAGAACGUGCGUGAGAGUAACUGUUCACGCCGUGACGGUAUCCAACCAGAAAGUCACGGCUAACUACGUGCCAGCCGCCGCGGUUAUACGUAGGUGGCAAGCGUUAUCCGGAUUUAUUGGGCGUAAAGCGAGCUCAGGCGGUCGGUUAGGUCUGAUGGGAAAGCCUUCGGCUGAACAGAAGAAGUGCAUCGGAAACCGGGAGACUUGAGUGGAGAAGAGGAAAGUGGAACUCCAUGGGUAGCGGUGGAAUGCGUAGAUAUAUGGAAGAACACCAGUGGCGAAGGCGGCUGGCUGGUCUGCAACUGACGCUGAGGCUCGAAAGCAUGGGUAGCGAACAGGAUUAGAUACCCCAGUAGUC
rnacentral:rRNA from 1 species